rnacentral:rRNA from 1 species
GAGUUUGAUCAUGGGCUCAGGAUGAACGCUAGCUACAGGCUUAGCACAUGCAAGUCGAGGGGAAACGACAUCGAAAGCUUGCUUUUGGUGGGCGUCGACCGGCGCACGGGUGAGUAACGCGUAUCCAACCUGCCCACCACUUGGGGAUAACCUUGCGAAAGUAAGACUAAUACCCAAUGAUAUCUCUAGAAGACAUCUGAAAGAGAUUAAAGAUUUAUCGGUGAUGGAUGGGGAUGCGUCUGAUUAGCUUGUUGGCGGGGUAACGGCCCACCAAGGCAACGAUCAGUAGGGGUUCUGAGAGGAAGGUCCCCCACAUUGGAACUGAGACACGGUCCAAACUCCUACGGGAGGCAGCA